CCGUCGGGUAGCCGCCAGCGAGAUCAAAGGCGGUCUAAGCAUGUAGAGCUCAUGGCGUAGGGCUUGCGGACGCGGGUUCGAUUCCCGCCGCCUCCACCA
rnacentral:tmRNA from 1 species